CCUGGUGCUUUUUGCGUGGUGGAACCACUCUGAUACCAUCCCGAACUCAGUUGUGAAACGCCGCAGCGGCUACGAUAGUUGGAGAGUUGUCUCCUGCAACAAUUGCUCGGUGCCAGGG
rnacentral:rRNA from 1 species